rnacentral:rRNA from 1 species
UAGGGAAUCUUCCGCAAUGGACGCAAGUCUGACGGAGCAACGCCGCGUGAGUGAAGAAGGAUUUCAGUUCGUAAAACUCUGUUGUUAGAGAAGAACAGCGCAUAGAGUAACUGUUAUGCGUGUGACGGUAUCUAACCAGAAAGCCACGGCUAACUACGUGCCAGCAGCCGCGGUAAUACGUAGGUGGCAAGCGUUGUCCGGAUUUAUUGGGCGUAAAGCGAGCGCAGGCGGUCAAUUAAGUCUGAUGUGAAAGCCCCCGGCUCAACCGGGGAGGGUCAUUAGAAACUGGUUGACUUGAGUGCAGAAGAGGAGAGUGGAAUUCCAUGUGUAGCGGUGAAAUGCGUAGAUAUAUGGAGGAACACCAGUGGCGAAGGCGACUCUCUGGUCUGUAACUGACGCUGAGGCUCGAAAGCGUGGGUAGCAAACAGG